rnacentral:snRNA from 1 species
GCAGCGUCGGGACGAUGAC